CCUACGGGCGGCAGCAGUGGGGAAUAUUGGACAAUGGGGGCAACCCUGAUCCAGUCAUGCCGCGUGUGUGAAGAAGGCCCUCGGGUUGUAAAGCACUUUCAGUGAGGAAGAACGCCUGGUGGUUAAUACCCAUCAGGAAAGACAUCACUCACAGAAGAAGCACCGGCUAACUCCGUGCCAGCAGCCGCGGUAAUACGGAGGGUGCGAGCGUUAAUCGGAAUUACUGGGCGUAAAGCGCGCGUAGGUGGCUUGAUAAGCUGGUUGUGAAAGCCCCGGGCUCAACCUGGGAACGGCAUCCGGAACUGUCAAGCUAGAGUGCAGGAGAGGAAGGUAGAAUUCCCGGUGUAGCGGUGAAAUGCGUAGAGAUCGGGAGGAAUACCAGUGGCGAAGGCGGCCUUCUGGACUGACACUGACACUGAGGUGCGAAAGCGUGGGUAGCAAACAGGAUUAGAUACCCUUGUAGUC
rnacentral:rRNA from 1 species